CAGACAUUCGUCACACCGAAGGUGUUCCCCAUACGUGGUGACGUCACCGCAGCAUCUCGUUCCCUAUUCAGGGAACCAUGGGCCUUGGGCAGCUGUUGACAGCUUUCACAACAAAUCAAGACUACAGAGCCGACUGAUGUCUCUGGUGUUCAGAGGACUUUCGAUCGUCUUUGGCCACAAACCUACACAUUUCUAUAAAGUAUUCUUUUAUUGAGAGAUGAUGACAUCCAGGAACUGCAGGUUGUGGACUUCUGUGCUGAGUGCUGACAAGCCUGGAAAAUAGUGACACAGACACUGCAUCAUCUGACACUGAUUCAGAGGAGCAUCCUGACUUACCUGAGCCUUUGACUGCUUUAUUUGAUGUAACACUCAGGGAACCUCAUCAAUCUGAGAAACUGGAAUUUGUGACAUGGCAACAGUCAAAGUCAAAGGAUUGGUACACCUAUAGCGCUGAUCGAAUCACAAGCACUAAAUUACACCAUUAUCAUGACUUGACCAUGACUGACAAGAUCAGCAAAACAUACCUAAAUGAUAUAAGGCAGUAUAAAAGAACAGUUAAAUGUCCCAUCUGUGCUCCAGACCUACAUUUAUCCUUUUCCUUACAUUUUAUGUUGUUGUUAUUGAUUGCUAUGUGUCGAUGCACUUAUGUUUAAAGUUUGAUUUUGUAAUGCUGUAAUGCAUACAUUUCUCAAAUGGUUAUUUUGCAAUUAAACUAUUACAUUACAAAUGAAAUUGAAAAGCACUGUGAAUUGUUGAGAUAGUCUGGGGGGAAAGUACAUUAUACACACCAGUUGCAGCCAAUGUUGGGAGGUUAAUUAUAAUGCAUUAAGUUUCAGGUAAAUACGUUUUAAAAUGUAAAUCACUUUAAAGCUAAUACAUGGUAACGUGUUACGCAUUUGGAAACAACACUGUUUGCCAUUUGAUGCAAAUGCUUCAUUCUGAAAUGUGUUUAUGGCAUUUUGAAUGCAGUGUUGCAUUUUGUGUGUGCAGUUUUGAGAAUUGUGUGUAGAGUUUUGAAAAAAGAAGACUUAGUUUUGAAAACGUGUGUAAGCAAUUGGUAAAAACUGUAAAUCCACAGCCACAAAGUAGCCCGAUGGGCUCGGUGCACCAUAGAUACAUAUCUAUGUCGGUGUACCAGAUGGCGCUGGUGAGCUUCAGUGACGCGAGUAUGUGCAUCCUUACUUCCGGUCUUGCGAAGUACUCAUUUAAAUGAAAAUGUACAUAUAUAACUUGCCUAGAUAGAAAUACAGUGGCAUGCGGAGGUUUGGGAACCCCUUGAAGAAUCUGUAAAAAAUGUGAAUCAUUUUCAAAAAA